CUUCACCGACCCCAACCAGAGCGGGUCGCGCCCGUCGCGGUCCUGCCCGUACGUGGCCAGCAGCGCCUGCGCCUC
rnacentral:antisense_RNA from 1 species